UACAGAGGGUGCGAGCGUUAAUCGGAAUUACUGGGCGUAAAGCGUGCGCAGGCGGUUCGCUAAGACAGAUGUGAAAUCCCCGGGCUUAACCUGGGAACUGCAUUUGUGACUGGCGGGCUAGAGUAUGGCAGAGGGGGGUAGAAUUCCACGUGUAGCAGUGAAAUGCGUAGAGAUGUGGAGGAAUACCGAUGGCGAAGGCAGCCCCCUGGGCCAAUACUGACGCUCAUGCACGAAAGCGUGGGGAGCGAACAGG
rnacentral:rRNA from 1 species